rnacentral:rRNA from 1 species
AGCAGCCGCGGUAAUUCCAGCUCCAAUAGCGUAUAUUAAAGUUGUUGCAGUUAAAAAGCUCGUAGUUGAAUUUCGGGAUUUAUCCGUCGGUCGGGCUUUUGGGUCUGUACUGGCGUGAUGGAUUCCUACCUUCUGAAUAACCGGCAUGUCAUUAAUUUGGUGCGCCGGGGAAGCAGGACUGUUACCUUGAAAAAAUUAGAGUGCUUAAAGCAGGCUUAUGCCUGAAUACAUUAGCAUGGAAUAAUGAAAUAGGACGGCAUGGUUCUAUUUUGUUGGUUUCUAGGAUCACCGUAAUGAUUAAUAGGGAUAGUUGGGGGCAUUAGUAUUCAAUUGUCAGAGGUGAAAUUCUUGGAUUUAUUGAAGACUAACUUCUGCGAAAGCAUUUGCCAAGGAUGUUUUCAUUAAUCAAGAACGAAAGUUAGGGGAUCGAAGACGAUCAGAUACCGUCGUAGUCUUAACCAUAAACUAUGCCGACUAGGGAUCGGACGAUGUUAAUUUUUUAAUGACUCGUUCGGCGCCUUACG